UUGGAGGGCAAGUCUGGUGCCAGCAGCCGCGGUUAUUCCAGCUCCAAUAGCGUAUAUUAAAGUUGCUGCAGUUAAAAAGCUCGUAGUUGAAUUUCGGGACCAUCAUGUCGGUCGUGCCUCGGUACGUACUGGUAUUGUUGGUUUCUCCCUUCUGACGAACCAUGAUGUCAUUUAUUUGGUGUUGUGGGGAAUCAGGACUGUUACUUUGAAAAAAUUAGAGUGUUUAAAGCAGGCUCACGCUUGAAUACAUUAGCAUGGAGUAAUGAAAUAGGACGUUUGAUUCUAUUUUGUUGGUUUCUAGGAUCGACGUAAUGAUUAAUAGGGAUAGUUGGGGGCAUUAGUAUUCAAUUGUCAGAGGUGAAAUUCUUGGAUUUAUUGAAGACUAACUACUGCGAAAGCAUUUGCCAAGGAUGUUUUCAUUAAUCAAGAACGAAAGUUAGGGGAUCGAAGACGAUCAGAUACCGUCGUAGUCUUAACCAUAAACUAUGCCGACUAGGGAUCGGAUGAUGUUAAUUUUUUAAUGACUCAUUCGGCGCCUUACGGGAAAC
rnacentral:rRNA from 1 species